rnacentral:lncRNA from 1 species
ACAUGGCCUUAGCCAUAUAACAGUCGAAUUGAGGGAAAAGGAAGGAACGCUAUAACAGUUAGGGCAAUUUCAGAAAAAAGGAAAGAAGAAAGAGCAGGAGCUGGCAGAGAAGGAGUACAUCUCGACAAAGAUGAAGCAGGAGGUGGCGAUUCGGGGGUGGAAGCCGUGCGCUCCAAUAGGCUUAGGGACCAAGAAAUUUUCGUGGAAGGCAAGGUGCUCUGCCUAUAAAACUCGGUCUCUCCUCCCUUCUUCUUCCUUACUGCCGAGCCCAGUCUUCUUCUUCUUCUCCCCUCACCGUCCGGUCAAACCACCUUACCCUUUUGCCGAAAUUAUCUAACAUUUGCCCUGUUCUUUCCGGCCGAAUCCAAGCUACCUAGUCUAUACCAAGUGUGAAUUUGAUUAGCAAGCAGAUAAAAAGGUAUAACAAUCAAAUCUUUUCUAUUUCAGUUAAAUAAGAUCAAUUAGUGAAUUGAUCUUUCCCACUUGGGUUUGGGGUCUUUCCCACUUAACCAAUUCACUAAUUAGUGAAUUCACUUCAACUCAAAAGCUCGGGAGUUUAAAUAUUGCUUUACUGACUACAAGUGGUUAAGUAUAAAAAACCCCAAACUCAGAUGGUGAUAUGAAAUUUACUCUUUUUUUUAAUUCGUAAAAACAGUUAGGAUUGGUAAGUUUAUCAGAGUUAUAAUUUUGGUUAAUGAAGUUAAGAUUGUUAGUUUUGAACAGAUAUCAAUUAAUUGAGUCAUUUACUGUGAUUGAAUAAUGAAGUUAAAUUUGUUGCUAAAACAGUUAAUUGUUAUCAAACUGGGAUAAUGAAAACCAUUCAUGAUUGUGGUACUGUGGUUGGAAACUGACAUGAAAUUUUAACUGGAAAACAGAUAACAGUAUGUGGCUGAGCAUUGGCAUACAUCAAUUAUGUAUGUUUUGUUAAUAUAUGGAGUUAGAAAGUUUCAUGUAUAUAUUUUUUUGCAAAUGAGUAAGGUUGGUAAGUUGGGUUAGUCUUAAAAGUCAGUUUGUAUGUAUAUAAUUUUGAAAAUCAGUUGGUGUAUUAUAUUAGGAUCAUGCCCAUAUUAUAUGUUGGAGUUAUGAUUGAUUGUGAUAGAAGACUUUCAUGCUCCAUAUAUUAAAGUUUGCAAGUUGGAGUUUUUGAAAUCAAUUAGUUUACUAAAUAGUUGGUUAUAUAUAUAUGAAUUGAUAGUGCAAAUGGUUGCUAUGGACCAGAAAUAGAGCAUAGGGGAUAGGUUUGGUUGUGAGGAGAUAUAAGGAGGUUAAAAUGGGAUUAUAGCACAAACAAAUGGCUAUGGUACAAAGGUUUCAAAACAACGCACACAUAGUGCUUGACAAAAUUACUUAAAUGGACUGUUUUGAUUAAAAACCAAGUAUUAGGUAAAACUAAGGCUUGGGCUAGAUCUAUGUAUGUUAUAUGAUGAUAAGUAAAGAGUUUGGGCGUACUAAGUUAGAACGAAAAACAAUUUUAAGUGAAAAUGGAAAAUCAAAAGUUAAUAUAUUGAGCUUAAUAUUUUAAAAUAGUAGUUUUAUACGUUAUGUUUAUCAUGUUCAAAAAGGGAUGUAAUCCAAGAUAGGAGUUAGAAAUUUAAAUUGAUCAAAUUUACAUUGCUGUGCUGUAGCAGCAAUGGGCUGUAGCAGCACGCUGCAGGGUAGCAUGUGGGGGCCUCCUUUGCGCUCUCAAAUGAUGUGUUAUUUACCCAAAAUGUAUGGUUGUUAUUUUAUAUAAUUGGCAGGUAUACCACCUAUAUAAUACCCAAAAUUCAGUGUAAAUGGGCUAAUAUAUUGCAAGUUAUAAAUUAGUGAAAUAAGAAGGUUAGAAAAGAAGCUGCUGCCCAAUUGCAGCAGCGAGUAGCAAUCAUCAGUAGCAGCUUUGGCUGUGUUGAUGAGCCAUUUUGACUUUAUAAUUUAAUUGAUAGUUACCCAUAAGGUUUAGGUUAUAUUUUCCUAUAUAGACAAGUACACGAGUUAUAAAGUAUUUAAAAUUCCAAAUAAUUUAAUUAGUAAUCUUCAAGAUAAAAGCUAUCAAAGGAGGGCAUCUAACUUUGGGGCUGUUAAGCUAACUUUGGGGCAGUUAAGAUAAGUAAGGGGCUGUUAUGCUUCAAGGAACUGUUUUGACAUCAUUUUGAGUCGCGAUAGUAUUUAACGCGAUAGUUUUUUAAAAUGAAUCUAUAAAUUAUUACGGAAGAUAUAAUUUACUCAUACAAGUUAUAAUGACACUCAAAAUGUAAAAUACGCUUUAAACACACUUUAUAUAUUCGAGUUAUAUAAAAGAAGUAUGGAAUAUACAUGUAUUAAGUUUCGAGUGAGUUAUAAACUGAAAUUAUGAUGUAUUCGCAUACUAAAAUCAUGUCGAAGUUUAUUAAAGCGAAAAAUGAUGAUUGCAAGUAAAAGGAUGAAGUAUUUGAAAAACAAAAUAUAUGUAAAAGUUUUUCAAAAGCUAAAACACAAGCUAAUGGUGUGGCCAAUAUAAACAUUUAAUAUAUAACUAUACAAGUUAUAUGACAUGGUUACAUGGCUAAUAUGUUUAUAUAUGUAAAUGUGAUUGUAUAGGAUCCGUGAAAGAAAGUUAAGCUGAACUUUAUUACAAUAGUCAACAAACGAGGCAAGUAUCUUAACCUUUUCAUUUGCUUUAUGCAAUGGAUCUUUGUAAGCAAAUAUUAUAUCUAUAACUUCCCAAAUUCUGUACAAGCAAGUUCUUGAACUUUAUUCAAUCUAAUUACAAGUAUCUCAAUAUUGUUCUCAUAUGAUUCAUAUAUAAUCAAAAUUGUUCUAUUCUUUGUGUAUUGAGUUUGGUUAUGCAAGUGUCCUCACUUGUAUAACCAAACUCUCGGGGUUGGAACUGGAUCUCUCGGGGUUAUUUCCGGGUUUGGAACUGAAUCUCCCGGGGUUAUCUCCGGUGUUGGAACUGGUUUAACUUCCAGGGUUUCUGCCCUCCUGUAAGGUUAGUAACAGGAAUGCAAAAUUUCGAAUGUCUACAAAUGUACAUAAACAAUCAACAACAUAUACAGGUUGUAUUGAAUUACAAAUCCACCGAACAAGCCAAUGAAAACAACAGAUAUGAAUAAAACUAAACCUAAAAAGAAUGUACAGCUAAGCCUAAUCACAGCUGAACAUGAUUACUGUAGAAGACUACAAAAGUUCAUAUUCAAUUUAGUUAUAAGAAAAAGAGAAUUUAUUAAACUUUAGCUCUACCCAAAUGUGGAUAAAAUGACGCUAAACACAAAUUGUUCACGUUUCUAGGUAAUGAUCGAAUAAAUCAGAGCUGGAACAAAUGACAAUUCUAAACAGAUAUUCGUUUCUGGCCAACACAAAAUAAACAUAUAGAGAUCCAUACAAAUAUAUAUAUUGAUAUUGAAAGAGAAUUACAAGCACAUCAUGUUUCUACAAAACACAAACAUAGGAUAACACAAGUAACAAAGAGUAUUACCAUAAGCCACAAGUCUAAAACAGUACAUAACGUUAACUAAAAGGGGAUUAGAACAAACAACAAUCGAAACCCCCCUCAGCAAUACUCAUCAAUCAGAUACAUACUUAUAGAAGAAAAUCCAACUUAAGAAAAACAAAUGAGAUUGAGUUGCACACCAUUUUCUAGGGCACAAAAGUUUGAAAAAAGCUAGCAAAUACAAAAGAACCCCUGCAAUCAGAAGAAAGUUGGUAAGAGAAUGAAUUGGAUUUGCAAUUAUAUACGGAAAACACAAGAAAUAUAUAUUUGGGGAAUAACGAAUCGAUUGUGAAAACAAUUAAUUGAUUGAGGUUUAAAACUAAGCAUCCAGCCCUCAAACAAAAUAACCUAGCCAACCACGAAAAGAACUUGUGAAGAAAUCUAGUCCGUUUCUCAUAAGAAAUCAAGUAAAACCACAAAUUAGAUAUGUACCUAGUGAGGCUAAUUGAUUCCAUUGAACCAAACAUUUCAAGAUAUGUAUAGGUAUUUUGACUUAUUGGAUGCACCAAGAAUUUCUCUCCAAGUUUCCACCAUCUGAUUCAUGGUCUCCCUCACUACCUUUACUUGUUCGGUCACCAAAGCAUCAAUUAAUGGUUUAGCAAUCGAUGUGAGUUGGGUUACGAAAUUGAGCUAAUGGCGGUGACGCAGGUGAAGCGGACUGCCGAAUCGGGGUCACAGAGGCGGCAGAUUAUAGAGGAGAGGAGUUUGGAGAGCUAGAUUAGGGAUGACAGAGGAGAGGCCUUCUUUGUUUUUCUUAAAAGCCUCCAUAUUUCAUUUGUCAAAACCUCCGUGUUUUUUCAAGUUAUAUAUACUCGUUUUCUCGUAGAAAAUGUUAUGCCAAAAAAACACAACUUUUUUUUUAUAAAAACGUUGUUGUUUAAGUGUCAUCUUUUUACUGAUUUGUAGUAGUGGCCCUGCUGCUUCAUUUAGUUCCGUACAUGACUGUUUCUAACAACAAAACAGAGCUAAAAAUGUGCUCAUGUUUCAUUUUCUUUAACAUAUGACAACACAAGAACCAUUAGUUAAUUAACAUCAAAUUAAGAUGCUGCUACCAUCAAGUCAAAAAUAAUAACAAUAACACAAAAAUAACAACAAUAACACAAAAAGAGCAAAAUGCUCUGUUGUUUCAUUUCCUUUAAUCCAUAAACACAGCCAUACAUGAUUUACAAUCAUCCACUCUUAGACAACUCUGAAUUCACAACACAAAUAACGAAACAAAAAGUGUUUCCCCAAUGUUGUUCUACAUUAUUAUUACUAAAACAUACAGAAAAAUGAACUAUGAACAAAUUAAAUUAUCCACAUUUUCUUGAGUUUUUCAGCUGAUUGAACAUUUUUCAUGAUCAACUCUUUUACCAUUUUUAACUCACUUCCAUCUUCAAUCAAGCUACGUUUUUGUACUUCUUCAUUAGCAGCUAUGAGCUCAUCCCUCAAUUUUUUGAUAACUUCACUUGAUCUUUCAGUGAAUCCACUUGAAAAAUCCACAAUACCUAUUUUUAUCCUUGUCAACAAAACAAUAAAACAAUAUUUGUGAGGGAAAAUUAGCUAAAACCAACGAAUCUGGUGAGGAAAAAUUAGCUACAACCAAAUAAAUUCAAGAGGAAAAAUAUCUUGCUCAUUGACUUACCUUGUAUCUGUAACAUCUAACAAAUCUUCUACCUGGAUCUAGAGUUCCUUCUUUCAUAGCUUCCCACAUAGGUGCAACGAUUCCACAACGACAAACGAUUGGAGAAGAAAACGAGGACUCGCACUCAGAAUCUGAAGAUUUACUCACCGAUUUCCUUUUGUAAGAAGUGUCCACUCCACUUGAGGUAGUCAUCUCAAGAAACGCAACAAUGAAUUAUUAGUAUCAAUUGAUUUUUUGUUCGACUGAAUGCAAGAACAACCAUAAACCUUAAUUUUACUCCCUUCUGAACCUAUUCGUUAUUUAUCUGGAAUGAUUUGGUGGGGUGGAUCGGAUCUUUGUUGGGUAGGUUAGUUUUCCAUGGGCGGGUUAUAGCUUAGGUGUUAAAAUCAAUUACAGGUAGGCUCCAGUUAGGAUUAAGUGGGACCCUUCAUUUUACACGUCACUUUCCCGUUCAAUUAAUUGACGUCUGUUACAAAAAUUCAAAUAUUCAAAUUUUUGUUAGUAAAAAGUAGUUCAGUAAGUUGACUGUAAGAAAAAAAAAGUUUAAUGACUCAUUUGUAAGUUGACGUAAAUUUAAUGACUUAGAAAGUAUUUAACCCGUAUCAAGAAAAUACAUGAGACAGAUAGUACCAGAUAAUAUUAAUAUAUGGGAUUCAUAUAUAUAUAUAUAUAUAUAUAUAUAUAUUCAACUAAGAUUUUCUCUUGCGUAAUAUUUUUUAAAAUCUUUUACAAAUGGAUACGGAUAGAUACAAAUAUUUGUAAGAAUUUCUCGUGAAUAUUUUUAUUAUUUUUUUAGUCUCAAUUGUUGCUUAUUAUUUGAACGGUUCAAGAUGGUAAACUCGAAAAUGACUCACAACAACAGGCGUUGGUUGUUGAUUAUGACACACACAUACCAUAUAACUUACUGACGUUAAAGACUUUUAUAACAAUAAAAAAAAAUCAAAAUUGAGGUAAAAAUAAUAAUUAUACUAAUAAUUAUUAUUAGUACUAUUAUUAUAAUUAUUAUAAUAAUAAUUAUUAUUAGUACUAUUAUUUAUUAUUAUUAUUAUUAUUAUUAUUAUUGUUAUUAAUAACAAUAAUAAUAAUAAUAAUCAAAUACGGAUAAAGUACUUUGCCAAGUAGCAAAUAUUUGUUUAGAUGCUAAAUUUUGAACAUCUUUUUUAAAUAUCUGUUUUGCAGUUGAACAAUCAACUCAGAUUAAAAAGUGUUGAAACUUUUCCAAACAAAAAUUAGAUUUCUUGGACAUAAUAUUUUCAAUGGAACUAUUAUUCCAAUUGACAGAUAUUGAAUUUGCAUCUAAAUUUUCGGAUGAAAUCAAAGAUAUAAUUAUUAUUAUCAUUAUUGUUAUUAUUAUUUAAUUUGGGCGGGAAUUUUUAGGGGUGAAUUUGAUUUGGGCGGAAAUUUGUAGUGUGAGAUGAAAUGUGAGCAUUUAGUUUAAGUUAGAAGAAUUGAGAUAAAUCUGAACUGUCUUUGUGCUUAGUCAAAUAAAAAAAAUCAAAAUAGAUUUUGUUUUAUUAUAUAUAUAUAUAUAUAUAUAUAUAUAUAUAUAUAUAUAUAUAUAUAUAUAUAUAAAGAGAACUCUAAUUAUUUUGUUUAUAAAUAAUAGUUAUAAAUAUAAUCUUUUUUGUUAUCAUCAAAAUUAGAGUGAAGUUGAAAAUAAUCCAACAAAUACUACAUAAUACGCUUUCACAUCACCAUAUUUAACCAUUUUUUUAUAUUAUUAUUAUUAUUAACAAAAAAUAUAACAAACAAAUGAGCCAAAUACCUUCAAGACAGUGAAAAGUUUGUUGCCAAAACACAUCAUAAACUUAAAAAUCGAGUUCAAAAAAGAAUGCACCGAUUAAACUGCAAUAUUUUUAUGUAAUGCAUAUCUAUAUGCAAGUUGUACAAUAUUUGCAUAGAGUAGAAGUACACGUAACAUAUUUUACUCAGUUUAUAAACAGUUAAUUAGGACAUCUAUUCCAUAAAAUCGCAAGAGAAAAAUAAAACUGACAACUUAAGUUGUUUGUACUACUAAACCCUAACUGCAUGUACCGUCAAGCCAUGCAAGAACAAAUAUACUAAACACUAAUUAUUAUUAUUUUUGAAUUGUUUUAGACCGCACCCAAAGUAACUUCAUGGGCUGCCUACGUCCCUCCCUUACUACAAUUAUAUACAUCAACCUAACAAAAGGAAGGAUCAGGUCUACGUAGUUCUUUAAAACAAUAGUAAAACUAGCACAUGCAUGCAAUAUCAGUUUACAUGCAUUAAAUGGAUCAACAAAAAGUAAAACAAAAGAACACUAAACUAAAUUAAGCCUAUUGUUUUGCCUCCUUGCAGGUCUCUCAAAACCAACUCCAGUUGCAUCUGCUAAUAAAAAGGGUAUUGCGGCAUCAGGGAUAUCUUCAAGAAAACAAAAUUCUUCCGGCUGUUUUCCUUUCAAUUUCACAAUUUGAUCUGCACAAUGAUUCCCUUCUCUCAAGGUGUGAAGGAUCACGCACUCAAACUCCUUCAUAAUCCUUCGACCAUCUUUUAUCAUGUCCUUCUGAGGAUGAUUUUGUUCGAGUUUCAAUCUUGAAAAAAUGUCCAAUGCCCCUACACAGUCGGUCUCGAUAAACACCUUGAACCCCAUAUCUUUAAUUAAUAGCAGACCCUUGUAUAUGCCACAUAUCUCCGCCACAAGACUGCUGGUUUUUGUGCCGGGUAUUUUCCUCAUAUAAUCAUAAACCCACUUUCUCGAAUCGUCCCUAAUCACUCUGCCACAACUCGAUGAUCCGCGGAAACAACUAUCAUCCGUGUUUAGUUUUAAAUAUCCACAGGAGGAAAAUUUCAAUGUAUUUUGUGUAUGGAUUUUUGUGGGUGAUGAAGAUAUGAUGGAGAAGAAACUAAAUAGGUUGGCUGAGGAUGAAAGUAUGAGAGAGGAAAAACUUCCAUGGUUAGUUUGAUAGUGAAGAAAAGAAAAGCUUUGUUAUCUGGCGGCUACUAGGUCAGAUUUUUUUUUUUUGCCUAAUUUACACUCUCUUAAGAAGCGUUUUUUUUAUAGUUGUAAGAAUAGGUCGAAAAAUAUUUUUUAUACCUCAAAUUUGAUUUUUUUUUAUUGUUAUAAAAGUCUUUAACGCAUAUUAGUAAGUUAUAUGGUAUGUGCGUGUCAUAAUCAACAACCAACGCCUGUUAUUGUGUGUCGUUUUCGAGUGUACCAUCUUGGACUGUUCAAAUAAUAAGCAACAAUUGAGACUAAAAUAAUAUAUAUACAAAUAUUUGCAAGAACUUCUUGUGAGUAUUUUUAUUAUUUUUUGUCUCAAUUGUUGCUUAUUAUUUGAACGGUCCAAGAUGGUACACUCGAAAACGACUCACAACAGCAUACGUUGGUUGUUGAUUAUGACACGCACAUACCAGAUAACUUACUGAUAUGCGUUAAAGACUUUUAUAACAAUAAAAAAAAUCAAAAUUGAGGUAUAAAAAAUAUUUUCCGACCUAUUCCUACAACUAUAAAAAAAAUACGCUUCUUAAGAGUGUAAAUUAGGCAAAAAUAAAUAAAUUCCGACCUAGUAGCCGCCAGAUAACAAAGCAUUUCUUUCUUCACUAUCAAACUAACCAUGGAAGUUUUUCCUCUCUCAUACUUUCAUCCUCAGCCAACCUACUUAGUUUCUUCUCCAUCAUAUCUUCAUCACCCACAAAAAUCCAUACACAAAAUACAUUGGAAUUUUUCUCAUGGGGAUAUUUAAAACUAAACACGGAUGGUAGUUGUUUCUGCGGAUCAGCGAGUUUUGGCGGAGUGAUUAGGGACGAUUCGGGAACGUGGGUUUAUGGUUAUAUGGGGAAAAUACCCGGCACAAAGACCACCAGUCUUGUGGCGGAGAUAUGAGGCAUAUACAAGGGUAUGUUAUUAAUUAAAGAUGUGGGGUUCAAGAAGGUGUUUCUCGAGACCGACUGUGCAGGGGCAUUGGACAUUUUUUCAAGAUUGAAACUCAAACAAAAUCAUAAGGACAUGAUAGAAGAUGGCCGAAGGAUUAUGAAGUAGUUUGAGUGCGUGAUCCUUCACACCUUGAGAGAAGGGAAUCAUUGUGCAGAUCAAAUUGCGAAAUUGGGAGGAAGACAGCCGGAAGAAUUUUGUUUUCUUGAAGAUAUCCCUGAUGCCGCAAUCCCCUUUUCAUUGGCAGAUGGAACUGGAGUUGGUUUUGAGAGACCUGCAAAGAGACAAAACAAUAGGCUUAAUUUAGUUUAGUGUUCUUUUGUUUUAUUUUUUGUUGAUCCAUUUGAUGCAUGUAAACUGAUAUUGCAUGCAUGUGCUAGUUUUACUAUUGUUGUAAAGAACUACGUAGAUCUGAUCCUUCUUUUUGUUAGGUUGGUUUAUAUAAUUGUAAUAAGGGAGGUACAUAGGCAGCCCAUGAAGUUACUUUAAGUGCGGUCUAAAACAAUUCAAAAAUAAUAAUAAUUAGGGUUUAGUAUAUUUGUUCUUGCAUUGCUUGACGGUACAUGCAGUUAGAGUUUAGUAGUACAAACAACUUAAGUUGUUAGUUUUAUUCUUCUCUUGUGAUUUUAUAGAAUAGAUGAUGUACUAAUUAACUAUUUAUAAACUGAGUAAGAUGUGUUACUUGUACUUCUACUCCAUGCAAAUAUUUUACAGUUUGCAUAUAGAUAUGCAUUACAUAAAAAUAUUACAGUUUAAUCAGUGCAUUCUUUUUUGGACUCAAUUUUUAAGUUUAUGAUGUGUUUUGGCAACAAACUUUUCAUUGUCAAAGGUAUUUGACUCAUUUGUUUGUUAUAUUUUUUGUUAAUAAUAAUAUAGAAAAAUUUGGUGAAUUAUGGUGAUGUGAAAGCCUAUGAUGUAGUAUUUGUUGGGGUUAUUUUUAACUUCACCCUAAUUUUGAUGAUAACAAAAAAGAUUAUAUUUAUAACUAUUAUUUAUAAAUAAAAUAAUUAGAGUUCUCUUUAUAUAUAUAUAUAUAUAUAUAUAUAUAUAUAUAUAUAUAUAUAUAUAAUAAAACAAAACCCAUUUUGAAUCUUUCAUUUAACAAAACUCAAGGACGGUUCAGAUCAAUUAUUCCAACUUAAUCUAAAGGCUGGCUCACAUUUCAUCUCGCUACAAAUUCCUGUCCAAAUCAAAUUCACCCCUAAAAAUUUUCGCCCAAAUCAAAUAACAAUAAUGAUAAUAAUAAUAAUAACAAUAAUAAUAAUAAUAAUUAUUAUAAUAAAAUUCAGAAAUUGAGCGAGGAACACCCAGACUCGUUAUCAAUUAUAAACCGCUUAAUGAAGUCCUUCAAUGGAUAAGAUAUCCGAUUCCUAAUAAAAAGUCAAAUACGGAUAAAGUGCUUUGCCAAGUAACAAAUAUCUGUUUAGAUGCUAAAUUUUGAACAUCUUUUUUAAAUAUCUGUUUUGCAGCUGAACAAUCAACUUAGAUUAAAAAGUGCUGAUUUAAAAGAUCAUCCUGAAAUUUUAAAACGCAUUUAACAAUUGAAAGACAUUCUUUCUUUAUUGUAGGAUAAUUUAAAGAAGGUCGUUUCCAGACUCUUGAAGUGAAACGAUUAAGAUUCUCUUUUUUUCUUUUUAGGAUUGAAUUGUUUUAGGAUUCCACCAUAUCCUGUAUUAGAAGCAUCAGUUUGAACGAUCUUCUUCCAUUUACGAUUAGGUAGAGCUAAACAAGGUAGCUGUUUGACCUUAGUUUUAAUAUUUUUAACUGCUUCAGUAUGCUCAGUAGUCCAAGGCGAAGGAUUUUUUCGGAGUCGAGUAUACAUUAUGGAAGCAUCCUGGGAAAGAUUCAGAUAAUAUUCUCGAAUGUAAUUUAUGCUUCCUAGAAAUCUUUGCAGUUGAUUAAUAUCUUUGAUUUCAUCCGGAAAUUUAGAUGCAAAUUCAAUACAUCUGUCAAUUGGAAUAAUAGUUCCAUUGGAAAUAUUAUGUCCAAGAAAUCUGAUUCCUUUACGCAUGUAUUCUACUAUCAGAAUCCUAUUCAUAACCAUACUUGGUUCAUCCGUAUAUGUCCCGAUGUUCUUAAAAAUGAAAUCCCAAGCUGAUUUUUCGUUUGGUGGGAUAAAUUCGGUAUUACUAUUGAAACUUUACCAGAAUCAGUCCAAACAAAAUUUAAGGAGUGGCAAGUUACUUAUGCCCAUAUACUAGUAAACAAAGAUUUAUCUAUGCUUAAAUUACUUGCUCAUUAUAUAAUCCGUUUUGGAAUCCCCUGGAUUUGGAAAUGAGAUUUUCAAUGUGACUAUCAGAAUAAGAUCCCCCGCCUUAAAAUGGUAUUUUUUUUCUAAAUGGUGGGAUAAAGGGCUCAAUCCUACAUUACCAGAACUUCUUAAGGCCAUUAAGAAUCAUACUCAGGCCUGCUUGGAUACUAUGCCUAAGAGCCUUCUAGCUCAACCAGUAAAUCCAUUUGUCAAAAUACAAACAGAUUUAAAACAGAAGUUUCCGGAUUUAACUGAAACUGAAUUGAUUGUUAAGACUAUGGAUUAUAUGAAAUAUCAAUACUUACAAUCCUUAGUCAAGGAUGAUAGUUCCAUGAAAAUUAUUAGCAGUAAUGAAGGAUCUGACCAGGAUGACAAUGAGUUUAACGUCUUAGCUGGAGAAAACCAAUAACCGGAACCCACUAUGGGAGCUUUUUGGGAUUCUCUCACCUCCAUGAUUUUCGAAAAGAUGGAGCAAGACAAAAAAGGAAAAGGAAAAGGAAAAGGAAAAGAAAAAGCUUAAAGAUAUUCUCCACUACAGAAAAGAUGCUCAAUAAUCAGAAGACGACAACCAACUGUCUCCAAUUAUCAGAAGAUGACACCAGCUGUCCUCAAUAAUUCUCCACUCAACCGACAAUCUGUCUCUUGCCAUCCCACUUCCUAUAGCUGAGAUUUAAAGAAGAAAGAUAAGGAUUGACACACGACUCCACUAACUAGGACACGCUCAGUCCUUACCUUAUCUCUUUACUUGUAUAAAUUGAGAGCAUUCACUCAUUGUUGAGGCAGAACUUUCUUUACAUUUUCUUUCUGUAUUCUCUCUCUCUAUCUUCCCUGUAAACUAUUUAAUAUAUAAAAGUUUAAAGUUCGAAGAUAUCUUCAAAGCUCAUCUGUAAGUUUUAAUUAUUACUUCUGUUAAUUAUUAUAUUUCUUUGCUUGAUCUUUUAGAUUAUCAUAUAGAAAAUAGUAAUCGUUAUAGAACAACCUAUCAGACUACUACAGAAAACUCGUUCUUAUUUGUUAGAACAGCUUAAUAAAUCAGAACAAUUAAUUGUUUUAAUUAAGAACGUCAUACAAGAAGAAACUUAUCGACUUAUAGUUUUGGGCAGACCCCCUAAUCAACAGUAAUCUUAUGAUAUCAUAUAUGUGAUAAUUUAUAUUUUAGUAUGUAUUUAACAUGCCUUUAAAAUAUUCAUGCCAUAUUAAAUAGGGUAUUGGGUUAAUGCUUGAUCAAGUGGAACGUCACUCAAGUCGCGUUUAGGACUUUGCCUUUAGCCUUGUUUUGCAUUGUGGCUUUUAUCCUUUGUAAAUCGUUGACAGACGUGCUUGAUCAGUCCUAUCCCCGAUACUGUCCUUAUUUGGUAUCAGCGCCAUGUUUAGUUUAUUGUCAUAUUGCUGAAUAUAUUACUUAUAAAUUAUGUAUAUAUGAUCAACUAUAAAAAUGACUCAUUUUCACCUUCAUCUGUUACAACUGUAGCUAAUGCCUCACCUUCUACUUUGGAAGCAACUGAACUUAUUGCCUAUCAGGAUGUUAAGGAAGCCCUUGAUAAAUGGACCAUUCCUAAAAUCAAACCAGAAACAAUUUAUAAAAUUGGAAUUUUGAUUUUAUCAGUAAAAGGAUUAUUAAAACCUUUGAACAUGUUGUUCCUUUACAGAAUAAUGAUGAAAUUUUAUAUUUAUUGCAUGUUGAAGAUUUAUACCCUUUUUUGCAAAAAUAUAAAUAUGUUCAUAUAAGACUUGUCCAAGUUGCUUUCAAACCGUUAACUUUACUUGGUCAAAAUAUCAGUAUUCAAUGCACACUUAGAGAUGGAAGGUGUUUAAACUGGAAAGCCUCUCUUAUGGGUGCUAUUGAAACCAGCCUUGCUCAUGGACCAAUAUAUUUUAAUAUUUAUCCGAAUUUAAGUGUUGCCUUAACUGAUAAUAAUUUGUCAAAAGUUUUAGAAAUGAGAAUUAUAUCUCAUGGUUAUGAAUAUCUACCUGGAUCUCCUCCUUUUGUCAUAUUAUUCCGUAUUCAUCUUAAAGUUUUGACUAUUUUAAACCCUUAUAUCCGAAAACAAAGCCAACAAGGACAUACUGUCCUUAUUGACACUAAGUUUUUUAGUAGUCAAGUGGCUAUUCCCAGAAUGAUCCAUUGGGAAGAAAUUACUUUUCUGAAACAGUGGCAGAUUACUAAUGUCGUUCUUACCAGACCUAUAAUUAGACAAUCUAUUGAGGAUGUUGUCCAAACGAGUAAUGGAAAUGUUUAUUUAAAAUUUCAGAGACCUUUUACCCGAAGUCGAUCUAUUAACAAUAUCUCUUAUAAUAUUGAUUUUCUGAAUCAUCUUGACAGUCUGUGUCUGAAUAGAAUCUAUUUAUCAAGAGUCUAAAAAAUUCAGUAAUGAGUUUGUUAAAAAUGAAGACUUAAUAAAAGGAAUACAUAUUUCUGAAAAUCAAAUACCUCAUGGUAUUUAUGAAACAAAUAUUCCUCAAAACAGAAGACUUAAUAGUCCAACUGCCAGUGACAUGCAUUUUGAGUGUUAAAUGGAUUUUUCUCCUAGUAGUAAAAUUCGUCAAUGUUUAAACCAAGAAUUUAUGCAAGAUAAAUACCAGAAUUUUAGAAAUUGGUAUUUUAAAAAUCAUGAUAAUGAUAAAUUAGCAUAAAUAAAAGCUAAUUAUUAUGCUUAUUUAAAUAACAAUCAGUGUAUAAUAUCAUUCACUGAAUGAUAUUAUAAUUUUGUUUUAAAAUCAGAAUUUUACACAGAAAGUCAACUGAAUGUGUUAACCGGUAUUCAAAAGGAUUGGAUUACCACAAGUGGUAAUAUUAUUCAAUCCAUUCAUCCCCUCCUAAGUCCCUUGAACUUAUUCUUGGAAUGAAAAUUUAAAACCUUUAAUUAUCAAUCCGUAUGUUGAUAUAUCUGAAAUACCCCCAUCAACAUGAAGAGGUAAAAAUAAAAGAUAUUUUGCCUUUAUCUAAACAAAAUAAUUAUACUAAUCUAUUCCUUCAAACAGUAGGAAAACAGUUAACCAGAAUAGAAAAACAAAUUAAUCAUAUUAAUGAUAAAUGUCAAGUUGUUCCUCAAAAGAUUGAUCUCCAACAUGUAACCAUUAAACCACCUUUAGAAGUUAGUAAUUUUAAGAUGAAAUCUUCUAAAGCUGAUGAUGAGUUUAUUGAUAAUCUUUUAAAUAAAAUAAAAGAUUUAAAAACUACAACUGCUUCUACCUCACAGAUAAAUAUGAUGUUUGGGCAACACUCUUCACAUACCAGUAAUAAUAAUACUGAUGAUGAAGAUGAAACUGAUAAUAUUUCUCAUGUUCAUAUUUUGGAAAUACAAAAUAAUUUUCAGGAGAUGCAACAUAUUAAUAAAACCACUUACAGUCAAAACUAAUAAAUCUAAUGGCUUUAUCUGGACCUAGUAGGUAUUAUUACCCCAGACCUACUCUCCAGGAUAUUCUGUAUGAAGAAGAUUUUCUUCAUUCUCAGAAAUCUUACCAUGGUAAAACCAUUUCAGAUAUUUCAUAUGACCAAUAUUCUUAUGGUCAUCUUAUUUCAAUAAUUAUUGAAGAAGGAUUAUCAUUAUGCAAUGAUAUGAAGCUUCAACAAUUAAUGAAAAAAUAGAAUCUCACCAAAAGAAAUGAGAUACGAGAAUUUUGUGAUCAAUUCUCUUAAGACACAAAAUUACAAUAUCCUCAAAAAGGCUAAAAAAACAACAGAAUUCUAAAAACUCUAAAUCUUACCGAAGACGUUCUUCUAAAAAAUCUUCUAAUAACAAAACCCUUGAAAAAUCUACUAAGAAGAAAAAGACCAAUAGUAAAAAGGAUAAAUCGAAAAUAAAAUGUUAUAAAUGUGGUAAAACAGGACACUUUGCUAAUAAAUGCAAAUCAAAGAUAAAAUAGAAACUUAAUGAAAUGUCCCUUGAUCAACAACAAAUUCUAAAUUGUUUAUCUAGCAGUGAUCCAGAACCAAAUUCAGAUGAUGAUUUAGCAAAAAUCUAUUCUGAAUCUGGCAAUGAUUUUGGUGAUGAACAAUGUAAAACCUGUACAAUGAAUAAUUGUAAUACAAUUACUGAAGCUGACUAUUGGAAAGCUAUCGUCGAAAUGAAUGGUUUAGGUAUUGGAGGACCCAGUAUCAAUGUCUUAACUGACACUCAGAAAUCACUCCUCGACUUAGCCGAUCAAAUUAAAGAUCCAAAAAUUAAAUUAAAUUUUUUGGAAAUCUGUUAUAAGAAUUAAAAAACUGAAGAUAUACUUCCCAUUGAUCAAUAUAGCAUGAGGGAAGUUAUGAAACGUAUGCAAAAUGUUUCUAUCGCUGAAAACCCCACUACUAUUCAAGAUCUUAAAAUUGAAAUAAAUAUUUGAGAAUCUGAAAUAAAACAGUUACAAAAUACUAAUGUUAUCAUCUUUCAGGAUUUAAAUAAGAUUAAACAUUAGCUAAAUCAUAAGCAAAAUGAUAAACCUGAAACUUUUGAUAAACCAGAAUCCUCUAAACAAUAUUUGAUGCUUAUGAAUCAAGUAGUUUUUAAGAAGUGGUAUAUAUUAGAAUUACUUUUAUUAUUAAACCGGAUUUUAUGACUAAAGAUGUCAUUGCUCUAGUAGAAAGUGGUGCUGACAUGAACUGUAUUCAGGAAGAAUUAAUUUCUACCAAAUACUUUCAGAAAACCACUCAAUCUUCAACUAGUGCGAGUGGUAAUACCACGAGUAUUAAAUAUAAAAUUCCUGAAACUUUAAUCUGUAAUCAAGGUUUAUGCUUACCUACUUCUUUUGUUCUUAUACAUAAUAUGAAUCAAAGUAUCAUCUUAGGCACCCCUUUUUUGUGUCUUCUAAUGCCUAUUUCAAAAAUUGAUACUUUGGUAUUCAUACUACUCUUAACAACAUGCAUAUUGUAUUUGAAUUUAUAACAGAACCUUAUACAAAAGAAUUAAAUCAAGUUAAACACAUGAUUUAUUCUAAAGAAAAACAUAUUAAUUUUAUUCAAAAAGAAAUAAAAUUUCUUACUACAGAACAUAGAAUUUUACAGCCUUCUUUACAGGAGAAAAUAAGAUUAAUUCACAAGACUCUUCAAGCUGAAAUCUGUAGUGAUGUCCCUAAUGCAUUCUGGAAUAGGAAGAAGCAUAUUAUCUUUCUUCUUUAUAUCACAAAUUUCAACGAUAAAAAUAUUCCUACUAAAUCUCGUCCUAGUCAGAUGAAGAAGGAAUAUUUAAUUCUUUGUAAAACUAAAAUCGAGUCUCUUAAACAGAAAAAAUUAAUAAAACCUAGCACAUCUCCCUGGAGUUGUACAACAUUUUAUGUUAAUAAAAAUUCAGAUAUUGAGCGAGGAACAUCCAGACUCGUUAUCAAUUAUAAACCGCUUAAUGAAGUCCUUCAAUGGAUAAGAUAUCCGAUCCCUAAUAAAAAGGAUCUUCUUGACAGGCUUCAUGAUGCCACCAUUUUUUCUAAAUUUGAUAUAAAAUCAGGAUUAUGGCAAAUCCAAAUUAAAGAACAUGAUACUUAUAAAACUGUUUUUACAGUACCUUUUGGCCAUUAUGAAUGGAAUGUUCUUCCAUUUGGAGUAAAAAAUGGAUCUUCUGAAUUCCAGCAUAUCAUGAAUGAUAUUUUUAAUCCUUUUAUUGAAUUUAUUAACUGCUAUAUUGAUGUCUUAAUUUUCUCUUCAUCUAAUGACCAACAUAUUAAACAUUUAAAUAUUUUUUAAAAUGUUAUCAUAAAAAAUGGUUUGGUAAUUUCUGCCCCUAAAAUGAAAUUUUUUCAAACAAAAAUCAGAUUUUUUGGACAUAAUAUUUCCAAUGGAACUAUUAUUCCAAUUGACAGAUGUACUGAAUUUGCAUCUAAAUUUUCGGAUGAAAUCAAACAUAUUAAGUAACUACAAAAAUUUCUAGGAAGCCUAAAUUACAUUCGAGAAUAUUAUCUGAAUCUUUCUUAGAAUGCUUCCAUACUGUAUACUCAGCUUCGAAAAAUCCUUAGCCUUGGAUUACUGAGCAUACUGAAGCAGUUAAAAAGAUUAAAAUCAGGGUCAAACAGCUACCUUGUUUAGCUCUACUUAAUCAUGAUUGGAAGAAGAUCGUUCAAAUUGAUGCUUCUAAUACAGGAUAUGGUGGAAUCCUAAAACAAUUCAAUUUUUAAAAGAAAAAAGAAGAUCUUAUUUGUUUCACUUUAGGAGUCUGGAAAGGACAUUCUUUAAAUUAUCCUACAAUAAAGAAAGAAUGUAUUUCAAUUGUUAAAUGCGUUUUAAAAUUUCAGGAUAAUCUUUUAAAUCAACAAUUUUUAAUUCAAGUUGAUUGUUCAGCUACAAAACAGAUAUUUAAAAAAGAUGUUCAAAAUUUAGCAUCUAAACAGAUAUUUGCUACUUGGCAAAGUACUUUAUCCGUAUUUGACUUUGAUAUUGAAUAUAUUAAAGGAAACCAGAAUUCUUUACCGGAUUUUCUAACCAGAGAAUAUUUGCAGGAAUGACCAGUAGAUGCCGUGGUCGCGGUCAACGAGGCCGAGGCAGAGGUAAUCUGUAAUUUGUAUUAUACAGAAUUUCCCAGUUUGAACACUCAAUCCAAUAAUUCUUCGGCUUCUUCCAGCUAGCCAAUAGUAAAGGAUGUUCUUUUAUUACCAGAACAGUAUAUCCCCAACAAAUAUGUGGAAGAAACAGUAUUGAUCAUUGAACCAAAUGAUGAGAAAUGGAUGAAAGAUCCAUGGAAAAUCAAGAGGCGUUAUUUAACGACUCAACCAUUUCCUCCUCAUUUUAACCAGUAUCGAUAUGUUUAUGAACAAAUUAUCAUUGAAAGAACAUCAAUGGACAUCAAGCACACGCUUCAUGAUCCUACAAAACUAACCAGUCCAAUCCAAUAGAGUAAAACAACAAUCAAUAGCAUUAUGCCUCUUGCUAAUUGGGGUAAUACUACCCGUACUGUUGAAACCAGUCAUAACGAAACAAAAUACAACUAUUGGGAUUAUAUUAAUUCCUUUAUGCAGGUAUUCUACUAUCAGAAUCCCUUUCAUAACCAUAAUUGGUUUAUCCGUAUAAGUCCCGAUGUUCUUAAAAACGAAAUCCCAAACUGGUUUUUCGUUUGGUGGGAUAAAUUCAGUAUUACUAUUGAAACUUUACCAGAAUCAGUCCAAACAACAUUUAAGGAGUGGCAAGUUGCUUAUGCCCAUAUACCAGUAAACAAAGAUUUAUCUAUGCUUAAAUUACUUGCUCAUUUCAUAAUCCGUUUUGGAAUCCCCUAGAUAUGGAAAUGGGACUUUCAAUGUGACUAUCAGAAUAAGACCCCCCCCCCCCGCCUUAAAAGAGUACUUCUUACUAAAUGGUGGGAUAAAGGGCUCAAUCCUACAUUACCAGAACUUCUUAAGGCCAUUAAGAAUCAUACUCAGGCCUACCUGGAUGCUAUACAUAAGAGCCUUCCAGCUCAACCAGUAAAUCCAUUUGUCAAAAUACAAACAAAUGUAAAACAGAAGUUUCCGAAUUUAACUAAAACUGAAUUGAUUGUUAAGACUAUGGAUUAUAUGAAAAAUCAAUUCUUACCAUCCUUAGUCUAGGAUGAUAGUUCCAUGAAAGUUGUUAGCAGUAAUGAAGGAUCUGACCAGGAUGACAAUGGGUUCUACAUCUUAGCUGGAGAAAGCCAAGAACCAGAACCCAGUAUGGGAGAUUUUUGGGAUUCUAUCACCUCCAUGAUUUUCGAAAUGAUCGAGCAAGACAAAAAAGGAAAUGGAAAAUCUUAAAGAUAUUCUCCACUACAGAAAAGAUGCUCAAUAAUCAGAAGACGACAAUCAGUUGUCUCCAAUUAUCAGAAGAUGACACCAGCUAUCCUCAAUAAUUCUCCACUCAACCGACAUCUCUUGUCAUCCCACUUCCUAUGGCUGAGAUUUAAAGAAGAAAGAUAAGGAUUGACACACGACUCUGGGGUAAUAAUACCUACUAGGUCCAGAUAAAGCCAUUCAAUUUAUUGGUUUUUGACUGUAAGUGGUUUUAUUAAUAUGUUACAUCUCCUGAAAAUUAUUUUGUAUUUUCAAAAUAUGAACAGGAGAAAUAUUAUCAGUUUCAUCUUCAUCAUCAUCAGUAUUAUUAUUACUGGUAUGUGAAGAGGGUUGCCCAAACAUCAUAUUUAUCCGAGAGGUAGAAGCAGUUGUAGUUUUUAAAUCUUUUAUUUUAUUUAAAAGAUUUUCAAUAAACUCAUCAUCAGCUUUAGAAGAUUUCAUCUUAAAAUUACUAACUUCUAAAGGUGGUUUAAUGGUUAAAGGUUGGAGAUCAAUCUUUUUUGGAACAACUUGACAUUUAUCAUUAAUAUGAUUAAUUUGUUUUUCUAUUCUGGUUAACUGUUUUCCUACUGUUUGAAGGAAUAAAUUAGUAUAAUUAUUCUGUUUAGACAAAGGCAAAAUAUCUUUUAUUUUUACCUCUUCAUGUUGAUGGGGUAUUUCAGAUAUAUCAACAUACGGAUUGAUAAUUAAAAGUUUUAAAUUUUCAUUCCCAGAACUAAGUUCAAGGGACUUAGGAGGGGAUGAAUUGAUUGUAAACACAUUCAGUUGACUUUCUGUGUAAAAUUCUGAUUUUAAAACAAAAUUAUAAUAUCAUUCAGUGAAUGAUAUUAUACACUGAUUGUUAUUUAAAUAAGCAUAAUAAUUAACUUUUAUUUCUACUAAUUUAUCAUUAUCAUGAUUUUUAAAUUACCAAUUUCUAAAAUUCUGGUAUUUAUCCUGCAUGAACUCCAUGUUUAAACAUCGACGAAUUUUACUAUUAGGAGAAAAAUUCAUUUAACACUCAAAAUGCAUGUCUCUAGCAGUUGGACUAUAAGGUCCUCUGUUUUGAGGAAUAUUUGUUUCAUAAAUACCAUGAGGUAUUUGAUUUUCAGAAAUAUGUAUUCAUUUUAUUAAGUUUUCAUUUUUAACAGACUCAUUACUGGAUUAUUUAGACUCUUGAUAUAUAGAUUCUAAAGGUUCAGACACAUACUGUCUAGAUGAUUCAGGAAAAUCAAUAUUAUAAGAGAUAUUGUUAAUAGAUCGACUUCGGGUAAAAGGUCUAAAAUUUUAAAUAAACAUUUCCAUUACUGGUUUGGACAACAUCCUCAGUGGAUUGUCUAAUUAUAGGUCUGGUAGAAACGACAUUAGUAAUCUGCCACUGUUUCGGAAAAGUAAUUUAUUCCCAAGGGAUCAUUCUGGGAAUUGUCACUUGACUACUAAAAAGAUUAGUGUCAAUAAGGACAGUAUGUCCUUGUUGGCUUUGUUUUCGGAUAUAAGGGUUUAAAGUAUUCAAAACUGUAAGAUGAAUACGGAAUAAUAUGGCAAAAGGAGGAGAUCCAGGUAGAUAUUCAUAACCAUGAGAUAUAAUUCUCAUUUCUAAAAUUUUUGACAAAUUAUUAUCAGUUAAGGCAACACUUAAAUUCGGAUAAAUAUUAAAAUAUACUGGUCCAUGAGCAAGGCUGAUUUCAAUAGCACCCAUAAGAGAGGCUUUCCAGUUUAAACACCUUCCAUCUCUAAGUGUUCAUUGAAUACUGGUAUUUUGACAAAGUAAAGUUAACGGUUUGAAAGCAACUUGGACAAGUCCUAUAUAAACAUAUUUAUAUUUUUGCAAAAAAGGGUUUAAAUCUUCAACAUGCAAUAAAUAUAAAAUUUCAUCAUUAUUCUGUAAAGGAACAACAUGUUCAAAGGUUUUAAUAAUCCUUUUACUGAUAAAAUCAAAGGUUCCAAUUUUAUAAAUUGUUUCUGGUUUGAUUUUAGGAAUGAUCUAUUUAUCUAGGGCUUCCUUAACAUCCUGAUAGGCAAUAAGUUCAGUUGCUUCCAAAGUAGAAACUGAGGCAUUAGUUACAGUUGUAACAGAUGAGGGUGAAAAAUCAGUCAUUUUUAUAGGUGAUCAUAUAUGCAUAAUUUAUAUGUAAUAUAUUCAUCAAUAUGACAAUAAACUAAACAUGGCUCUUAUACCAAAUAAGGACAGUAUCGGGGAUAGGAUUGAUCAAGCACGUUUGUCAACGAUUUACAAAGGAUAAAAGCCACAACGCCAAAAUAAAGCUAAAGGCAAAGUCCUAAACGCGACUUGGGUGACGUUCCACUUGAUCAAGCAUUAACCCAAUACUCUCUUUAUUUAAUAAAAUGGCAUAAAUAUUUUAAAGGCAUAUUAAAUAUAUACUAACAUAUAAAUUAUCACAUGUAUGAUCUCAUAAGAUUACUGUUGAUUAGGGGGUCUAUCCAAGACUAUAAGUCGACAAGUUUCUUCUUGUAUGGCGUUCUUAAUUAAAACAAUUAAUUGUUCUGAUUUAUUAAACUGUUUUGAAAAAUAAGAACGAUUAUGGUUGUAUGUAGUAGUCUGAUAGGCUGUUCUAUAAUGAUUAUUAUUUUCUAUAUGAUAAUCUAAAAGAUUAAGCAAAGAAACAUAAUAAUUAACAGAAGCAAUAAUUAAAACUUACAGAUGAGCUUUGAAGAUAUCUUUAAACUUCAAACUUCAAACUUUUAUAUAUUAAAUCUAAAAGAUCAAGCAAAGAAAAUUCGGUAAAGAAUUUUGGUUUCCUUUGAUAUAUUCAAUAUCAAAGUCAAAUACGGAUAAAGUACUUUGCCAAGUAGCAAAUAUAUGUGUAGAUGCUAAAUUUUGAACAUCUUUUUUAAAUAUCUGUUUUGCAGCUGAACAAUCAACUCGGAUUAAAAAGUGCUGAUUUAAAAUAUCAUCCUAAAAUUUUAAAACGCACUUAACAAUUGAAAGACACUCUUUCUUUAUUGUAGGAUAGUUUAAAGAAGGUCCUUUCCAGACUCCUGAAGUGAAACGAAUAAGAUCCUCUUUUUUUCUUUUUAGGAUUGAAUUGUUUUAGGAUUUCACCAUAUCUUGUAUUAGAGGCAUCAGUUUGAACGAUCUUCUUCCAUUUAGGAUUAGGUAGGUAGAGCUAAACAAGGUAGCUGUUUGACCUUGGUUUUAAUUUUUUUAACUGCUUCAGUAUGCUCAGUAGUCCAAGGUGAAAGAUUUUUUCGAAGCCGAGUAUACAAUAUGGAAGCAUCCUGGGAAAGAUUCAGAAAAUAUUCUCGAAUGUAAUUUAGGCUUCCUAGAAAUCUUUGCAGUUGAUUAAUAUCUUUGAUUUCAUCCGAAAAUUUAGAUGCAAAUUCAAUACAUCUGUCAAUUGGAAUAAUAGUUCCAUUGGAUAUAUUAUGUCCAAGAAAUCUGAUUUUUGUUUAGAAAAGUUUCAUUUUAGGGGCAGAAACUACCAAAUCAUUUUUUAUGAUAACAUUUUAAAAAAUAUUUAAAUGUUUAAUAUGUUGGUCAAUAAAUGAAGAGAAAAGUAAGACAUCAUCAAUAUAGCAGAUAAUGAAUUCAAUAUAAGGAUUAAAAAUAUCAUUCAUGAUAUGCUAGAAUUCAGAAGGUCCAUUUUUUACUCCAAAUGGAAGAACAUUCCAUUCAUAAUGGCCAAAAGGUACUGUAAAAGCAGUUUUAUAAGUAUCAUGUUCUCUAAUUUGGAUUUUCCAAAAUUUUGAUUUUAUAACAAAUUUAGAAAAAAUGGUGGCAUCAUGAAGCCUGUCAAGAAGAUCCUUUUUAUUAGGGAUCGGAUAUCUUAUCCAUUGAAGGACUUCAUUAAGCGGUUUAUAAUUGAUAACGAGUCUGGAUGUUCCUCGCUCAAUUUCUGAAUUUUUAUUAACAUAAAAUGUUGUACAACUCCAUGGAGAUGUGCUAAGUUUUAUUAAUUUUUUCUGUUUAAGAGACUCAAUUUCAGUUUUACAUAUAAUUAAAUAUUCCUUCUUCAUCUGACUAGGUCGAGAUUUAGUAGGAAUAUUUUUCUCGUUGAAAUUUGGGAUAUAAAGAAGAGAGAUAAUAUGCUUCUUCCUAUUCCAAAAUGCAUUAGGGACAUCAAAUUUCAAAUUGAAGAGUCUUGUGAAUUAAUCUUAUCUUCUCCUGUAAAGAAGGCUGUAAAAUUCUAUGUUUUGUAGUAAGAAAUUUUAUUUCUUUUUGAAUAAAAUUAAUCUUUUUUUCUUUAUAAUAAAUCAUGUGUUUAACUUGAUUUAAUUCUUUUGUAUAAGGUUCUGUUAUAAAUUCAAAUACAAUAUGUUUGUUGUUAAGAGUAGUAUGAAUACCAAAGUAUCAAUUUUUGAAAUAGGCAUUAGAAGACACAAAAAAGGGGUGCCUAAGAUGAUACUUUGAUUCAUAUUACGGUUAAGAACAAAAGAAGUAGGUAAGCAUAAACCUUGAUUACAGAUUAAAGUUUCAGGAAUUUUAUAUUUAAUACUCAUGGUAUUACCGCUUGCACUAGUUAAAGAUUGAGUGGUUUUCUGAAAGUAUUUGGUAGGAAUUAAUCGUUCCUGGAUACAGUUCAUGUCAGCACCACUAUCUACUAGAGCAAUGACAUCUUUAAUAAUAAAAUCCAGUUUAAUAAUAAAAGUAAUUCUGAUAUACCACUUCUGAAAAAUAUUAUUUAAAUCAUUUUGCUUAUGAUUUAGCUGAUGUUUAAUAUUAUUUAAAUCCUAAAAGAUGAUAACAUUAGUAUUUUGUGACUAUUUUAUUUCUGAUUUUAAAAUAUUUAUUUCACUUUUAAGAUCCUGAAAGCGGUAGAAACAUUUUGCAUACGUUUCAUAACUUCCCACAUGUUAUAUUGAUCGAUGGGAAGUAUAUCUUUAGUUUUGCAAAAAUUUUAAUUUAGUUUCUGGAUCUUUAAUUUGAUCGGCCAAGUCGAGGAAUGAUUUUUGAGUGUCAGUUAAGAUAUUGAUACUGGGUCCUCUAAUAUCUAAACCAUUCAUCUCGACGAUAGCUUUCAUUAUACAAGUUUGACAUUAUUCAUCACCAGAAUCAUUGCCAGAUUCAGAAUAGAUUUCUGCUAAAUCAUCAUCUAAAUUUGGUUCUGGAUUACUGCUAGAUAAACAAUUUAGAAUUUGUUGUUGAAUGUCCUCAUCAAGGGACAUUUUAUUAAGUUUCUGUUUUAUUUUUGAUUUGCAUUUAUUAGCAAAGUGUCCCGUUUUACCACAUUAUAACAUUUUAUUUUAGAUUUAUCCUUUUUACUACUGCUCUUCUUCUUCUUAGUAGAUUUUUCUGGGGUUUUGUUAUUAUAAGAUUUUUUAGAAGAACGUCUUCGGUAAGAUUUAGAGUUUUUAGAAUUCUGUUAUUUUUUAGCCUUUGAGGAUAUUGUAAUUUUGUGUCAUAAGAGAAUUGAUCACAAAAUUCUCCUAUCUCUUGUCUUUUGGUGAGAUUCUGUUUUUUCAUUAAUUGUUGAAUCUUCAUAUCAUUGCAUAAUGAUAAUCCUUCUUCAAUAAUUAUUGAAAUAAGAUGACCAUACGAAUAUUGGUCAUAUGGAAUACUCAUUCGGUCAUGUUUAUCUCCUAAUUUUUUAUGGAUUUUUUCAGCAAAGAAAGUAGGAAGUCCAUCAAUAAACUUGGCUUUCCAAGAAUUUGGUCUUUGCAUUACUUUCAUUAAAAAGACAUCCUUAUACCAUCUAAAAUGGGUCAAGGAUGGACAACGAAGAUUCUGUAAGAGUUCUCUACUCCUAUCAGUAUUCAUAAGUUCUGGUCCAACAAAGAAUGACUGCUUGAACAAGAGUAUAACAAGCAUCUUCUCUUUUUGUUUCAAUUUUAGUAAUAGGAUCUGUUUCAUUCUUAUAGGAUUGAUGAAUUUCAGUUCUUUGUUUAUCAGUAAGUGCAUUAUCCCACCAUCCUUUAAGAAUGCUGAUAAAUCCAUUUACUAAAAAAUGACAGAUUUGAUGGUCUGUAUUAUCAUUUUGUUUACAGACUGUUGCAUACAUCAUGAUAUGAUGUAUGGUUUCAUAAAUUUGAUAUUCUGUCUUACCAUCAAUAUUCCAUUCAUAAAUGGUUUUACCAUGGUAAGAUUUCUGAAAAUGAAGAAAAUCUUUUUCAUACAAAAUAAUAGAACUAAUAACUAUAAUACUAAUAAUGAUAAUAAUAAUAAUAGUAAUAGUAAUAACAAUAAUAAUAAUAAUAAUAAUAAUAAUAAUAAUAAUUAAUAAUAGUAAUAAUAAUAGUAGUUAUAAUAAUUAUUAUAAUACUAGUAAUAGUAACAGUAAUAAUAAUAAUAAUAAUAAUAAUAAUAAUAAUAAUAAUAAAAAUAAUAAUAUUAAUCAUAAUUAUAAUUGAAAUUUAACUAGGCACACUUAGAAGGGGGAGUUGAAUAAGUGUGGGAGCAAUCUAUGACCAAUUUUUAAACUUUAGAUCAAGCUAUUAAAUUCAAGCUACUAUAUUGAUUAAUUCAGUUUGCUGAAUUAAUAUAGUCUACUGAAUUGAUUAUAUAUCAUGCUGAAUUUAUAACUUAACUAAAUUACUUGGUGUUAAAGAAUUAUCUUAACAUAAUGCAAAUAUUCAAAUUUUAAUUAUUAAGAUAAUUAAAUGGCUUACGUGAGUGAUUAAAGUAAAGCAAGUAGUAAUAUCAACACCAAGAUUUUUUACGUGGUUCAGCUAUUACCCUCUAUAAUAAUAGCCUAGUCCACGUCCAAUACCAACUAGUAUUGGAGACUCACUUUAUUUAUAUCUUUAUAAAUAAACACCGAUUACAAAACAAAUUCUUACAAAAAUUAAUUAACAAUUAAUUUCUCUUGAGCACUAUUGCUCCUUGUGCACUUAUGCACUCUUCAAGCACCUUUAUUUCCUUAAACCUGUUUGUAAACCUUUUCUCUAAUCCACUAGGAUUAACACCUUUAGACUACACUUAGUCUAAAACAGAAAUUUCAAUACAGAUAUAGAGGUCUAUGAUCAAUGCAUGAAUAAUCAAUUUAACAAUUAAAGGCUCAACUAUAUACAAUGAUCGAUUAGCACACAAAGAUAAACAAUUAAUUUCUUACCAAAUACCAGCUCAAAGAUAUCAGAAAUUUAAUUGCAUAGCUGCUCAAACGUUUGCACCACUAAAAUAACGUUGCUCGAUAUAUCAGUAAUUAGUGCAAUAUUAAAUUCGUGAGUUGUUUUUAUUCUGUACACAAGAAGCAUUAUUUAUAGCCCAUAAUCAAGUUACCAUUAUUUCCAAAUAAAUCUGUUCCAAUAAUCUACAAAAUAACCGGCUUGAUAAUAUGUAGAUAUCUCACAACAGUAAAGAAGUAUAUCUUUACUAUUUAUCCAGUUUAACAACUCCAACCUUGUUAGUGUAGGGAUAAAUAUGAAAGUACUCUAAAGAUAAUCCACUUUUCAAACCAACUCUGACUUUGUCUCUAUAUUUAAAAGUGACGUGUAGCAACAAAAGUGGAGUGUCCUUUAUCUUUCCAAUAACAUAUUAAAGUCCCAAGACUUAUAAUUAUUAUCCUUGAAAAUCGAACUUGCAUAAUGCUAUCGCCCUUAUAGCUUUCUAGAUAUGUAUAAUACAUGGAUAUCCACUUGUAGCAAAAAGAAUCUCAAGAAUAUCAAGUACACACUUAUAUAAGAAUGUACACGUAACAUAUGUCAAAUAAAAUAUUAAUUCUUUUUGUACCAGUGACAUAUUUAAUAUUUAGAAAACCUUUUCCAUUUAGAUUUAUUUAAACAUUUUUCAUUUUAGACAUAUAACAAGAUGCAAAUAAUAUGUCCUAGAGCCUUUAAAUGAAAAAUCAAGUAUUAUGCAAUUAACCUUACAUUUGAUUUUCCUAGUAAAGAGAAAUUCUUCACCCACUUGAAUAUUCCUUAUCAUUAGAUACCUGAAAUGCCAUAAAACAAUUUAGCAUACGAAUAAUUCAUCAUCAAAACUUAAGGAUAAAAUAUGAUUAGGUCGACAUUCUCCCCCUUUUUGACGAUGACAACUAAAAGCCUUUUAAUUCCCAUUAACUCCCCCUAUGUUCAUGCAUAUCAUAUAAUUAGCUACCCCUAAAUUCACGCAUCAAUAUCAUUUCAGGAAUCUCAUAAUAACUAACUGAAAUUCAAAUUUGAUUUCAGUAAACUAAAAUUUUAAACAACCCUAUUAUCUUGGCAUGUACCUGCAAUCAUGUUAGUUCAACAUAUAUUAUCAAAUAUAUCAAAUAUAUCAAAUUGCUAAUCAUAUCAAUUAAAACUUUAAACAAAAGUAUGGUGAAUCAAAAGUCUGGUGAAUCACAAAUUCAAUCUUUUCAGUCUUAAAAUAAACCCCAAAUUUCUCCCCCUUUGUCAUCAAACAAAAAGAGAAAGAUCCAUUAAUCGAGUUCUACCACUGCUACUCGCUGUUCAUCCCUCUUGGUGAAGUAUGGGUGAUGAUUGGCACGGUGAAUUCUUUCAGCGAGGGUAAAAUCAGUAGCAAAAUGAGGAGGACGGGGAAUGAAAGUUUCUGGUGGUAACGGCACGUCAAGGAAUUCACCAAUGUACUCAGCGAGCCAGUUACAAUGAACCCAUUCUGUAACCGUAGAAUGUUUACGCUGCAUAUGUAGCUUAAAGCCUACAUCAUUGAAACGCGUAGAAACGAACUCAGCCAAUUCUCCUACCUGAUUACUGACAAACAUGAUCUCCUGACUUAAUUGACAGGGAUUCCGAUUAAGCCUUCACUGCAUAAUCUCUCCCAAAGCAGUAGUUUGCAGUUCAAAACCUACAUGUAAGUCAAUAAACUCAUCUUCAAGAUUGUUAUACAUUUUGUUAAUCUCGGGAGCUCCCAAAGGCAAUUUGCCUUUCUCCAACAUAGACAUACGAGUGUUAAGGCCAGACAUUUCAGCUUGCAUUUUUUCUUGAUUACUAAGCACCAGUUUCAACAUGUCAAUAAUUUCAGAAGAAGAUUGAGUGGGGGGCUGAACAGGAGAAGAUGGAAUUGAGAUUGGAGGAGCAGGAUUCUCAGAAUUAACACGAACAAACAUACCAUCAAGUAAAAUAAUACGCGACAUUUUCAGGGACCCAACACUGAUGGAAUCAGUAAUAGAAACAGAAUUUUCAUUUUCAAAACAAACUUUAAAAUGUUUGAACAGAGUAGUGAGAGUAGCACUGUAAGGCAAACAAGUCUUGAUUUUUCGCAAACAUGUGGUCAUGUGAUGAAGCAUCAUUUGAGACAAGUUAAAAGAAACACCUCUUCAAAUCAUGGCAACAAAUAUCAAGUCUUGAUAGGUAAAAUCUGCUCCUCCACCUAAACGAGGCAACAGAUUGUAUCUAACAAGAUGAUGGAGGACACAAGAAAUAGGAGAGACAUCCACUGUUUAGGAGUAAAAACAUCAUUUAAUAAAUUGUUGUUCAUCACAAUUUCUAACUGUUCCAGAGGAGUAAAUGGAAAACGAACAGCUCCUUUUUUUGUAAAAGGACACACACCAGAAGAUGAAAUAUUCAAAAUACUACCAAAAUCCACGACUGUAAAAUAUAACGAUUUUCCUUUGACAAGAGUGGUAUAAAAAUCACCAUGACAUUCUAGAUUUGUGUAAAAUUGUUGGACAAGUCUAGGGUAUGCCACAGAUGGAGGAAAAAGCAUUGAAGAAAUACCACAAGAAUCAAACAAUGUUUUCAAAGGAGAUUGUUGAUAACAGAUUUGAUCGACUGACUUUUCAUAGACAAAUUGUUUAAGAAAAACAACGGUCUUAAACCGUACUUCAUAUGUAUUGCUACGAAAGAAAUUGUCAGGAAGAUCUGAAGAAAGGAUAGGAUUUACCGAAUCAGAUGGUGGAGCAAAUUAACUCAGGUUUACAGGAUGGGUUUGUUGACUGUCGUCGCCGAGAGGGUCCAGAUGAUUUCGCCAAGGGAGGGCUGAAAGUUGAUUCGUCAGAAGACAAAGAGUCCACACAGUCAGUUUCUUCAGACAUGACUUUCUUCAUUUUUCUUUGCUUUUGAGAAGGUCCGGCAGUCGAUUGAGGAGGGACCGUCGUCAGAAUCGAUCAAUGAUCUCUUAUGUGUUCUGGUUCUCAUAGUGCUUGAGGUUUAUUAUUGAGGAAGAUGAACGUAUAGAGUAUGAGAGAAAUGAAGUCAGAAACAGAUUUGAGAUGUAAGGAUAAUGGAGAGAGAGACAGAAAGUUUUAUAAAAGGACGAAUGCAAGUACAUUGUACACUCCUACACGUUUACGUCUUUCAACAAAUCUCACCCAUUAUGUCUUUUCGAUUUUCAAAAUCAUUAUGAGAGGCGCCUAGAAUCUUGUGUCCAUGAUUUAAGCAGCCGAAAAGUUAAAACCAUAAUUAGAUGAGAGAGAUAAAAUAUUCAAUGCAUGUAUCCCUACACGCCUACGUCUCUCAAGAGACUCAACCGACUUGUCUUUUCGAAUUUUGAAGAAUCAUCAUGGCAAAUAUUUGGAAUACCGUGUCCACGAUUUAAGGACAUUUAAUGGGCAGCUGAAAACUCAUAAUACCGAAUAUCCUAGAUUUUAGCAGUUAUUAAGAUAUGCAUGCAUAAUAGGAUAACAUAACGAUAAUGUAAAUUAAAAACAUUUAAGCGAUACACAUCCCAAGUUCUCUUCGCAACAUGCAAAAUCUAUCUUUACUUAAUGGUUUUGUAAAAAUAUCUGCAAUUUGAUUUUCAGUAGGAAUAAAAUUUAAUUUAAUAAAACCUUUUGACACAUUAUCACGUAAAAAUGAUGUCUCACUUCAAUGUGUUUUGUACAUGAGUGUAGCACAGGAUUUUUGGAUAUAUAUAUAUAGCACUAGAAUUAUCACAAUAGAUAGGCACACAAGCACAUAAUAUGUCAAAAUCACAUAGAGUUUGUCUCAUCCAUAAAAUCUGUGAACAACAACUUCCUGCAGCUAGGUAUUCACUCUCAGUAGUUGAGAGAGCCACUGAGGUUUGCUUUUUACUAUGCCAUGACACGAGACUUUGUCCCAAGAAAGUACAUGCACCACUCGUACUUUUUCUAUCAAUUUGACAUCCUGCAUAGUCAGCAUCUGAAUAACCUAUUAAUUCAAAGUGAUUGGAAAUUGGAUAAAAUAACCCUAAGUUAAUAGUACCACUUAAAUAUUUCAAAAUUAUUUUAACAGCAUUUAAGUGUGAUUCUUUGGGUUUAGCCUGAAAUCUUGCACAUAGACAAACACUAUACAUUAUAUCGGGUCUAGAGGCAGUUAAGUAUAGUAAGCAUCCAAUCAUACCUCGAUAUUUUGUUAUAUCAACAUCUAUACCUUUCUCAUCAGUGGUGAGCUUUAUUGAUGUGCUCAUUGGUGUACCUUUCGAGUUAGAUCCUUCAAAGCCAAAUCUCUUGAGUAGUUCUUUUGUGUAUUUGGUUUGAUGGAUAUAAAUUCCUUCCUUUGUUUGCUUGAUUUGUAGUCCCAAGAAGUAAUUAAGCUCUCCCAUUAAGCUCAUGUCAAAUUCUUUAUGCAUGCACUUGAAAAACCACUCACAAAGAAAAUCAUUAGUAGCACCAAAUAUUAUAUCUACAUAUAUUUGAACAAUAAUGAUAUCGAUAUUUUUAUGCUUAAUAAACAAUGUAGAAUCUAUUUUUCCUCUAACAAAUCUAUUUGAUAAGAGAUACUUACUUGACCUUUCGUACCAAGCCCUUGGAGCUUGUUUCUGUGACGCCCCCAAAUCCGGGUACUUGAAACCCAAACUCGGUGCUUCACGAUACCAUUCUAUAAACUGACUAAUACUAAUAAUAAUAACAAUAAAAUAAAAUUCAAACUUAAUUUACAUAUGCAUCAAAGUUUAUCUCCCUAGGUACGAGACCUUAAAGUACAUUCCUUAUAAUACAUGAUAUUAUUAUAUAUAUAUAUAUAUCAUUGUCUUAAUAAUAUAAAACUAUUACAGCAACUACCACAAAUCUUAUUCAAUUAGCUUUCCUUUUCCUUUGUUUCUGCUUGAGCUUUCUGGUUCUUCAAACUUAACUGAAAACAUUUAAAUUAAGCAAGGAUGAGCAUUUGAGUGCCCAACAAGUAAUAGCAAUUAUAUGUAUAUAAGCUGAAAGAAUUUAAGUAUUUUCUUUAUAUAACUCUUCUACAACGAAUCAAAAGUUGUGAAAUAAUCUGAACCGAUAAUAAUAACAUAAAAACCCUCUUUCAAAUUUUUGAAACUACGUACUGGCUAUAAAUGGGGUUUAAGUGACAUACUAUGAACAUUGUUUUCAUUUUCGAAAUGGUUUAGCAGAACUUCAUCCGCAUACCGUCAUAACUUACGGACAUGGGGGUGAUCAGCCCGUUGUGCCCUGUAAUUAUCAACACUACAUUACAAGAACGAUGUUAUCGUUCACUCUGUCCGCCUUGGGCGCAUAAAAGUUUUCCCAUAUUCGGGAUGUUCAUACUUAGUCUUGAGUCCAAACCAAAGAAAUUUGAUUGGAUACAAAAAGGUUUUAUCUUGUUCAACAAUAAUCUAUAAUUCAACAUAUACGUAUACGGGUAAUUGACAAAGGUGUAUCAACAUGUGAAUGAAUACCAUGAUUAUCCAAGUGGGGACACUUGUAUAACCAUUUAUAGAAAUUAACGAACAGAAUAUAUAUCUGAACUAAAAUUUUGAUAAUCAAUGAGCGUAUAUAAUCUGUACAGGAAUAAUAUAAUUCUGAAACAUUCUUACUCAUGUCCAUUGCAUAAAGAAAAUGCAAAGAUAGGAUACUUGCCUGAUACGCUGCUUACAGAAUGCAACUUAGUUUUAUCUUUUAUAUAAUCACCUAUCAGUAGUAAGAUCAUUUACUGAUUAGAAUAAAAUAUUACAACACAUAAUACUGCCUAUUGCAGUCAACACAUAACCUAAUCACAUUAUCACACAUAUCUAACAGUCAUUACAUCAUAAACAAACAAUAACACAUUCAAAAUAUCUAAGUCUAUAUUAAUUUCUGAAAAUUGUCGGUGUAUCGAUAGCUUUAUCGGGUAAUUAUCAAGUCUAAGACUCUAUUCUGUAUCUCAACAUCCUUAAGUAUCAGUCAUAUUAUUUUAAAUGACUUAGUAAACAUUUAUAAUAAUUUAUCAUGAAUUUUUGAAUAUCGGAAUUAUAAUUAAAUGAUUUAAAUAUCAAACAAUUCUAUUAUCAUUAAUAUUCAAUUAAUAUUAAACUAUUAAUGAAACCAUUACCAAAAUAUCAAAGUUAUUUACAAUAACUUAAAAUAUUUUUAAUUUAUUUAUAUCCUUUUUAAAUGAUUUUUAAGUAAAUAAAACCAUUUUAAACUAUAUAUUUAAUGUAAUUAUUAAAUAAAUAAAAUAUCCUUAAUAUUACAUUAUUAUCAUUAAUAUUGAUUUAUUAAUGAAAUUAUCCUUUAAAUAUUAAAAAUUAUAUUUUAUAACUUAAAAUAUUUUUUAAACACUUUAUUUUCAUUUAAAAUGAUUUUUAAAAUAAUAAAAUCAUUUUUAAACUAAAUUAUUUAAUAUAAUCAUUAAAUAAAUUUAAUAUCAUUAAUAAUAAUUAAUUAAUAAAAUUCAUCACAAAAUACUAAAAGUCAUGGAAAAUAACUUCAAAUAUUUUCUUAUACCAUAAUAUAAUUUUAAAUGAUUUUUCAUGUAGUAAAAUCAUUUUUAAAUAAUUUAUUUAAUAUUAUAAUUAAAUAAAUUAAAUAAUUUUAAUAUUCCAAAAUAUUAAAUAUUUAUGAAAUAUAUUCAAAAUAAUUAAAAUAUAAUUUUUGGACAUUAAAAUAAUUUUUAAUAAUUAAUAAUGUAUUUUUAAUAAUUUAAAUCUAAUUUUCUGUAAUUGUUUAAUUAAAAUAAUUAAUUUUAUAAAUAAACUAUCGCUAAAGGCUGCCUAUAGCGACGUAACUGUCGCUAUAGGUGUUCUUCAUCAAAACCCGGAAAUCAAGUCAGUUAUCGAGUGACCCAUUUUGACCAAGAAUUGUGAUCAAAUAAUGAUGUUUAUGGACUAUAAAUUUACCUAAUAUUGUAUUACUUAUGUAGUACUACAAUUAUAAACAGAUUUCAUGGCCAUAUCAUCACAUAAUAGGAAGAUCUAAUCUACAGAAGUUGAUGUCAGACAUGAUCUUGAGUUUCUAGGUUGCCCAGAAACUCGAUCAGUGGCGAGGGUAAUAUUUUGAGGCUUCACUACAUGCUAUCCUUUUAAUCGUUUUAUGAUCUAAUUGCUGCAGUAUGUAGAUAACAUGUAGGACUACAGAUAUAUCACAUAAAAGAACAAUAACAACAAAUAAUAAAGCAGAUAAUGUUUAGUCAAACGGUAGUCAGAACAAUGUUCUUGAAGUUUUUUGGAAUUUCCAGAAAACGAAACUGUGAACUUCUGCACCACUUUGACCAGCCACUACGAUCAAAUAGUUCAAUCGUAAGGAGAUUUUAAGGCAUAAUCAUGUAUUACUAAUACCAAGCUACAACUUAGACACAAUAAACAAACCAAAUAAUCAACACACUGACAGAUCUAGACGCUGGAAUACACUGUCAGACGCUUGUUCAUGCAUUCUGGGUUACCCAGAAAUGGCCCGGUCAAUUCCGGUCAACGGACUUUGACCGUUAAUAACUACCAAUCUAUACAUCAAUUGACUCUGAUUCUUUUUGUAGAUUAAAUAAAACAUGACAGACUACACAUAACAAGCUUUAAACAUCAAAAACACUUAACAGGCUGAGAUCUACAGUCUCUGACAUUCGUUGUCAGAACACAAAAAUGAAAUUUCCAUAUUUUUGAAAAACAUGAUUUUGAGCAUUUUGAUGUUAUGGAUCUAAUAAAUACCAACCCAGAUCAUCAAAAUGGACUAUAGUCAACAUGUUUUAACAAUAAAAAUUAACAUCUAACAUCAAAUUAUAGAAUUUUUAGGUUAGAGCUUUUAUACCUUUUCUAUGAACAAUUUCUUGAAUCUUUGCUCCUGAUUUGUUAUGGGAUUUCAUGGGGCUGUGUUUAGGACUGAUAUAGCAAGAGGAUUUCGUAGGGUUGGGUUUGAGAGAAUAAAGCUAAGUGUUGGUUGCACAAUUAAGCCAAAAUGGACACUUUCUCUCUCUUUAAUUAUGAAAUGAAAUGAUUCCAUGUGCUUGUAACAGCUGAUCAUUGAUGGGUAAUGUUAUAGUGCCAUAGGUGAAUUCUAGAAUAAAGUUAGAUGGCCAGAUUUUGCAAGAUUGCUAGCAGUAAUACACUAAUAAUUCAUUAAUGGGACAAAAAAGGGUAAAAUAGUAAUUUCACUUGUAAUUUCAAGGGCAUUCUUGUCCAAGGUGAUUAAAUCUAGGGUUUAAUCACUAGAUUGUAAAUCUUACAAUUACCCAAAUAAUUUCUAGGGUUUGACAAUUUAAAAUAAAUAAUGUAAUAAAAUGCUAAUUAAGCACACUAAUUUAAAAUUAGGGUUUUUAAUUAGAAAAUUAGGGUUUUUAAAUUAGGGUUCCUUACUAUCAUUAGGGUUCCCAAUUUAACAAUUAGGGUUUCCUAAUUAACAUUUCCAUUUACUAAAAUAAUAAUUAGGGUUUUCAAAUCAAUAAUUAGGGUUUCUCCUAAUUACGGAAAUUCUAAUAUACACAAUAAAAUUCAUAUAACGUAAUUUCUACUCAGUCUUGAACUCACAACUGAGUUUAACAAUUAAGGCUUAAAAAUACGAUAUAAGGGUCAUGAUAUAAAUUUACCAUAAUUAACCAAUCAUUAUCUAGUACAUAUAUAUAGCACUGAAAAUUCAAAAUAUAUAUAAUAUUAUAUUAUUAUUCUCAUCUCUUGAUAAAAAUCCCAAUUUAGGGUUCGGAUUCCAUAUCUGACUUAUCCUUUGUAUACAACAUCAAUAAUCAAGUUAAAAUAAUUAACUUAAUAUUCUGUACAAAUUCAUAUAAUAAAAUAUUUAUUAUUAUAUUUCUAAUUGUCAUUUCAUAUAUUAUUUAAAUAAUAUAGAAAUUAUAUUUUCAUUGAAAAUAAAUAAUAAAAACCUUUCUGCUUACAAAAAUUAAUUACUAUAACAAUAUAAUUUAUAAUAAUUAAUAAUUCUAAAAUUAUUUCUAAUUUUUCAAGUAAUAAAUAUAUUUGCAUUUAUCGUUCACAUUACUUGACACUUAUUCUUAUCAAAAAAAAAUUCAUAUGCAAAAGUUCCUUAUUUAUUUUUAUAGAAAAUAUCGGGUUAUUACAGUUUCAAGCCAUAAAGAGCUUUCUUUAGCUUGUACACAUGAUUAGGAUACUUUUCGUGCUCGAAUCCAGGAGGUUGUUUGACAUAUACUUCUUCAUUGAUGUAUCCAUUAAGGAAUGCGCUUUUUACAUCCAUUUGAUGAAGCUUAAACGUUUUGUAGCAAGCAAAAGCUAACAGAAUUCGGAUUGAUUCCAGCCUUGCUACUGGUGCAUAAGUUUCUUCAUAGUCGAUCCCCUCCUGUUGGUUGUAUCCUUGAGCUACCAACCUUGCUUUGUUACGAAUGAUUGUCUCAUGCUCAUCAAGCUUAUUCUUGAAGACCCAUUUAGUACUAAUGAUGGAAACAUCUUUUGGAGGAGACAUAAGUUCCCACACUUGGCAUCUCUCAAAUUGUUGAAGUUCUUCUUGCAUUGCCAAUAGCCAGUUCUCAUCAAGUAUAGCAUCCUUUGCAUUCUUUGGCUCAACCUGUGACAAAAAUGCAGAGAAUACACAGUGAUUUUGUAAUCCUCUUCGUGUUGUUAUACCUUUAUUGAUAUCUCCAAUGAUAUUUUCUGGAGGAUGAUUCUUGAUGUAUCUAGCUGUUCUUGGCAUUUGGAUAUCAUGCAUAAUUUCCUCUUGAUCAUUAGACUCAUCUUCAGGUUCCUGCAAAUCUUCAGGUUCACGUUCAUGCUGGUCAUUCAUUUCAGUUUGCUGAAUCUGUUUAUUCGAUCUCCUGUUUUGUUCGUUUCGGUUUGCUGAAAUUCUAACUAUCUCCAAAUUUCAUGCAUCAUCUUCACUUUCUUUUUGAAGAUCAUUGUUAGUCUCAUUGAAAGUGAUAUGAACAGAUUCUUCUACACAUGACUUUUUAAUAUUGAAAAUGCGAUAAGCCUUACUAUUUUGAGAAUAACCAAUAAAUAUUCCUUCAUAUGACUUAGCAUCAAAUUUUCCCAAAUUGUCACUUGUAUUUAAAAUGAAGCAUUUAGAACCAAAUAUUUUGAAAUAACUUAUGUUGGGAAUUUUAUUAUUUAAAAGCUCAUAUGGUGUUUUCAAAAUAAUAGGACGAAUGAGUACUCUAUUUAAAACAUAACAAGAUGUACUUACUGCUUCGGCCCAAAAUUUCUUUGGAAGCUUACUUUCUUGUAAUAGAGUUCUAGCUGUCUCUUAUAGAGUCCUAUUUUUCCUUUCCACCACCCCAUUUUGUUGAGGAGUCCUUGGUGCUGAGAAUUCAUGGCUAAUACCUCUUUGAUCACAAAAGGUUAUAAAAUCUUUUUGAAAUUCAAUGACAUGGUCACUUCUAUUUCUAAUGAGUUUGUAACUAUAUUUUGUUUCAAGUUUUCUUAUUAAUCUUUCAAACUCUUUAAAUGCUUCAUCCUUAGUUCUCAAGAAUAAUACCUAUGUGUAUCUAAAAAAAUCAUCAACUAUUACAAAUGCAUAAAAUUUACCAUUAAUACUAGAAUGUCUUUCUGGUCCAAAUAAAUCAAGAUGAAGUAAUUGCAAGGGAGAGGAGGUUGAUACCAUAUUCUUUGCUGUAAAAGAAGUUCUUACUUGUUUUCCCAGUUGACAAGGAAUGUAUAUUCCUUUCUUUUCAAACCUUAUUUUUGGCAGUCCUCUUACAAGAUUUCUUACAAAUAACUUCUUGAUUAGAUCCAUAUAAACAUGUCCCAUCCUCGUAUGCCAUAGAUAAGCCUCAUCUUGUACUAAAGUAAGACAUAGUUCUUCAUUCUGUUGCUCAAAAUCAAUAGUAUAUAUAUUUUCUUCUCUUUGUGCAACUAGAGUAGUAUUGUUAGUACCAUGGAAUAUUGUGCAUUUAUCUUUUUCAAAAUUAACUUGAUGACCAUUAUCCAUUAAUUGACUUAUGCUUAUUGAUAAGUAGGAUUUACACCUACUUAUGGAGUACCAAUUCAUGCGAACUAUGCCCAUCUCAAGUACAUUUUAGUAGGUUUUAGCUGCAUUUCAUGUUAAAUUGCAUUUCGCAUACUUAAAACUCCUUUUGGUGAAUAAGUGCAGGAUUCGGCCUAUUUUGGUGGUGUUAUUGAGCACAAGGCUAAGGGAUGCUUGAGACGAGGCAAAAGAUAGGAUGUGCAUAGCUAGGAUUGAGUGGAGCAUGGAUGGACAAGCAUGGAUAGACAUAGGACAUUUCAGUAGCAGCAGCAACAUUGCAGAACCAAGCUCAGGAGCAAGAUCAGAAGACAACAAAUGCAAUCCGCGCGGCUGCGCGGCAAAGGGAGCUUGGAGGCGCGCGCCCGCGCGAUUACCGAGCCAAACUAGGGAACCUACUGCAAGUUGCGCGGCCGCGAGAAGGACAAGCCUAGGGAGCGCGCGCCCGCGCGAGAGACCGGCUGAACAUACAAACUUACUGCAAGUCUCGCGGCCGCGAGCAUAACAAGCUGGAGGAGCCCGCAGCCGCGUGAGGCCUGAAGCUGCUGACUUGUUUUAUUUUAUUUCCAAUUUUUAAGGUUUGUAAUUUAUUUAAAACGAUUCCUGACUGGUGUCAAGGGUAUCACUUGACAUUUUAUUAAGUUUUUCACUUAUCUUUACAUCGUAACUAGGGUUUACUCUUUGGGAGAGAUUCCAACGUAGAAGGAGGCCACAACUCUACUUUUCUCCUCCUCAUUGGGAUUUUCUACCAGAGUGGAUUAUUAUUAUUAGUUUUGCUGGAUUCUUA